UCAUGAAAACAACCUAUAAAGACAAUAACAUCAUACAGAUCAUAAUUUCAUGCAUAAUCAACCAUCAUGGUAUAUAUUAUAAAUCCAUAUCUAUUAACAAUAGACGAACUCGUAACCGUUUCUCGUUUCACCAGCCUACUAGUAUCCAUGGGGAUCCAUAGGGGUGUCCCCGCUAUACGUGAACCCUUUCUCUUAACAGUCUUAAUUAUAUAGCCGUCUUCAUACCCCGUCCGGUAUGAGUACCGAG
rnacentral:lncRNA from 1 species